rnacentral:rRNA from 1 species
UACGGAGGGUGCAAGCGUUAAUCGGAAUUACUGGGCGUAAAGCGUGCGUAGGCGGUUCGUUAAGUCUGUUGUGAAAGCCCCGGGCUCAACCUGGGAAUGGCAAUGGAUACUGGCGAGCUAGAGUGUGUCAGAGGAUGGUGGAAUUCCCGGUGUAGCGGUGAAAUGCGUAGAGAUGUGGAGGAAUACCGAUGGCGAAGGCAGCCUCCCUGGGCCAACACUGACGCUCAUGCACGAAAGCGUGGGGAGCAAACAGG